rnacentral:rRNA from 1 species
UACGUAGGCAGCAAGCGUUGUUCGGAAUUACUGGGCGUAAAGAGUGUGUAGGCGGUGCUCUAAGUUCGGUGUGAAAUCUCCCGGCUUAACUGGGAGGGUGCGCCGGAAACUGGAGUGCUUGAGCGCGGGAGAGGAAAGCGGAAUUCCUGGUGUAGCGGUGAAAUGCGUAGAUAUCAGGAGGAACACCGAUGGCGAAGGCAGAUCUCUGGGCCGUAACUGACGCUGAGGAGCGAAAGCGUGGGGAGCGAACAGG